rnacentral:rRNA from 1 species
UACGUAGGGGGCGAGCGUUGUCCGGAUUUAUUGGGCGUAAAGAGCGUGUAGGCGGCCAGGUAGGUCUGCUGUGAAAACUCGAGGCUCAACCUCGAGACGUCGGCGGAAACCAUCUGGCUAGAGUCCGGAAGAGGAGAGUGGAAUUCCUGGUGUAGCGGUGAAAUGCGGAGAUAUCAGGAAGAACACCCGUGGCGAAGGCGGCUCUCUGGGACGGUACUGACGCUGAGACGCGAAAGCGUGGGGAGCGAACAGG